AUUUUGCAGAAGCUAAGUACUGUUGGUACCUCAGGGCACCACUGCCAACAUUUACAUAAAGUUUCAUUAGGUUGCUCUUAUAACGAAAAAUUUAAAAAUUUGAUUUUUUUUUACAUUUUUUAGUUCCAUAGUAACGGCGGCCAUUUUGUACCAUUCCAAUGUCUCUUGCACAACUUACAUGGCGUUCAUAUUAUGGUAUAGUUCCAUCAACAUUGGUCUGACCAAUUCGAGAAAUAGUAUGCGACAAAAUGUGUGAAGAAUAAAAAUAAGAAAAAAAAGAAACGUACAAUAACAAUAUGUCACCCCAACUCCGUUGAGGGUGCCAUAAUAAUAAGAAAAAAAAGAAACGUAGAAUAAACAAUACGUCACCCCAAACUCCGUUGAGGGUGCCAUAAAAAAAGAAACGAACAAUAACAAUAUGUCACCCCAA
rnacentral:lncRNA from 1 species